AACGAACGCUGGCGGCAGGCUUAACACAUGCAAGUCGAGCGAGACCUUCGGGUCUAGCGGCGGACGGGUGAGUAACGCGUGGGAACGUGCCCUUCUCUACGGAAUAGCCCCGGGAAACUGGGAGUAAUACCGUAUACGCCCUUUGGGGGAAAGAUUUGUCGGAGAAGGAUCGGCCCGCGUUGGAUUAGGUAGUUGGUGGGGUAAUGGCCCACCAAGCCGACGAUCCAUAGCUGGUUUGAGAGGAUGAUCAGCCACACUGGGACUGAGACACGGCCCAGACUCCUACGGGAGGCAGCAGUGGGGAAUCUUAGACAAUGGGGGCAACCCUGAUCUAGCCAUGCCGCGUGAGUGAUGAAGGCCUUAGGGUUGUAAAGCUCUUUCAGCUGGGAAGAUAAUGACGGUACCAGCAGAAGAAGCCCCGGCUAACUCCGUG
rnacentral:rRNA from 1 species